UACGUAGGGGGCAAGCGUUGUCCGGAAUUACUGGGCUUAAAGGGUGCGUAGGCUGCGCAGCAAGUUGGGUGUGAAAUCCCUCGGCUCAACCGAGGAACUGCGCCCAAUACUACUGUGCUCGAGGGAGACAGAGGUGAGCGGAACUUAGGGUGGAGCGGUGAAAUGCGUUGAUAUCCUAAGGAACACCCGUGGCGAAAGCGGCUCACUGGGUCUCUUCUGACGCUGAGGCACGAAAGCUAGGGUAGCGAACGGG
rnacentral:rRNA from 1 species